CAUGACUCUCCAGAGGACAGACAGAGACUCCCAUCUGCUUACUGUCAGAGCAGAUGACAGCCUGAGGGCCGAGCGCACUCAGCACUGGAGCUGCCUCUGACACACUCCCUGCUGAAACCCAGCUGGAUGUACAGAAAGCUUUUCCAAAUGGACUACAUGUUGGUGGACUGUGAUGAGGUCCUCACAUUAAAGCCGAGUCUCCCUGGGACAAACGGACUCCCCACACUGGGAUUUAAAGAGAGCUCCAACUGGUGUCAGUACGGAGGGCAGACUGACUGACUGACCCCAAGAAGACCACUGUCACACUGAUUCAGUCCAGCUUAGACUAAAUGAUUGUAACCUAGCACUGACUUUAAGCCAGCUCUCCCCUCUGAAGAACCCCUCACUCCCCUAAAAGCAUUAUCUUAUUAAUUCCUUAACUAGCUUAGUCCCCAUCCAGACAUGUUGAGUCAAAACA